UAACUGUGGUGCCAGUCUGUUCUUAGGC
rnacentral:piRNA from 1 species